UACCGGAAGAGACUAACAGGAUUCCCCUAGUAACUGCGAGUGAAGCGGGAAAAGCUCAAAUUUAAAAUCUGGCAGCUUUGGCUGUCCGAGUUGUAGUCUGGAGAAGCAUUUUCUGUGCUGGACCGUGUACAAGUCUCUUGGAACAGAGCGUCAUAGAGGGUGAGAAUCCCGUCUUUGACACGGACUGCCAGUGCUAUGUGAUGUGCUCUCAAAGAGUCGAGUUGUUUGGGAAUGCAGCUCAAAAUGGGUGGUAAAUUCCAUCUAAAGCUAAAUAUUGGCGAGAGACCGAUAGCGAACAAGUACCGUGAGGGAAAGAUGAAAAGCACUUUGGAAAGAGAGUUAAACAGUACGUGAAAUUGCUGAAAGGGAAACGCUUGAAGUCAGUCGCGUUGACCAGAACUCAGCCUGGCUUUUGCUAGGUGCAUUUUCUGGUUGACGGGCCAGCAUCAAUUUUGACCGCUGGAUAAAGUCCUUGGGAAUGUGGCACCUUCGGGUGUGUUAUAGCCCUUGGUCGCAUACAGUGGUUGGGAUUGAGGAUCUCAGCACGCCUUUAUGGUCGGGGUUCGCCCACGUUCGUGCUUAGGAUGCUGGCGUAAUGGCUUUAAACGACCCGUCUUGAAACACGGACCAAGGAGUCUAACAUGCCUGCGAGUGUUUGGGUGGAAAACCCGAGCGCGCAAUGAAAGUGAAAGUUGGGAUCCCUGUCGCGGGGAGCACCGACGCCCGGACCAGACCUUCUGUGACGGAUCCGCGGUAGAGCAUGUAUGUUGGGACCCGAAAGAUGGUGAACUAUGCCUGAAUAGGGUGAAGCCAGAGGAAACUCUGGUGGAGGCUCGUAGCGAUUCUGACGUGCAAAUCGAUCGUCAAAUUUGGGUAUAGGGGCGAAAGACUAAUCGAACCAUCUAGUAGCUGGUUCCUGCCGAAGUUUCUCUCAGGAUAGCAGAAACUCAUGUCAGAUUUAUGUGGUAAAGCGAAUGAUUAGAGGCCUUUGGGUUGAAACAACCUUUAACCUAUUCUCAAACUUUAAAUAUGUAAGAACGAGCCGUCACUUGAUUGGACUCGCUCG
rnacentral:rRNA from 1 species